rnacentral:rRNA from 1 species
UUAGUUGGUGGAGUGAUUUGUCUGGUUAAUUCCGUUAACGAACGAGACCCCCGCCUGCUAAAUAGUUGAUCGAAUGCUUUGCAUUCGUUGCAGCUUCUUAGAGGGACUUUCGGUGACUAACCGAAGGAAGUUGGGGGCAAUAACAGG